AUUUGAAAUCAGAGUAAUCGCCUGCUUAAGAGCGGGUCGCUUCGGAUGUUUGUGGAAAGGCUGCUGAAAAACUCAAAAGUUCGCAGAUGCAUGGCAGGGAAAGCGGUCAAUGCCGGAGCAAUCUACCUGCAACAAAGCGAAAAACGGGGCGGUUUUCAUGCAUACGUUACUCUAUUGACGUCAAAGAAAAUUCUGGAUGCAGAAAGCUGCGCGGUCACACAAUACACGGUAUCGCUGAAAGCGUCUGUUUUGGCUUAGCUGCAAAGGCCCUGUGAAGGGUUCGUAAUACGAGUGGAAGACUGAAUCUGGUUGAGCUGCAGCGACACCACACAACACCUGCUCUUAACGUGCAGAAAAAACAUAGACGAUGCAAACAACAACCGGCGGGAAUUUUACUGAAAUUUAACGCAAUAGGCGCCACUGUCAAUUCACAUCAGGGGCACAGCGAGCAAACAACUAAACAGAGGGUAGAAUUAUGGAAUGGAGCGAUAGUGAGUGGGAAGGAUUUUUUUGCCUCUUCUUUGGAAAGCUCUUCGUUCAGAUAUUCGUCAGGUCCCAGCUGGCCGUCGAGGGCAAAUAAGCAUCUAGGAGCAAAAAGAGAGGAAGGAACAGAGAAACGUCUCAUAUAUCGACCCUAAGAGAAAUACAGAAUAGGAUUUAGUUUGUUUUGUUAUUUUAG